AUUGAACGCUGGCGGAAUGCUUUACACAUGCAAGUCGAACGGUAGAGGGGGCAACCCCUUGAGAGUGGCGAACGGGUGAGUAAUAUAUCGGAACGUGCCCAGUCGUGGGGAUAACGUAGCGAAAGUUACGCUAAUACCGCAUACGAUCUAUGGAUGAAAGCGGGGGAUCGCAAGACCUCGCGCGAUUGGAGCGGCCGAUAUCAGAUUAGGUAGUUGGUGAGGUAAAGGCUCACCAAGCCGACGAUCUGUAGCUGGUCUGAGAGGACGACCAGCCACACUGGGACUGAGACACGGCCCAGACUCCUACGGGAGGCAGCAGUGGGGAAUUUUGGACAAUGGGCGCAAGCCUGAUCCAGCAAUGCCGCGUGCAGGAUGAAGGCCUU
rnacentral:rRNA from 1 species